rnacentral:rRNA from 1 species
GACGAACGCUGGCGGCGUGCUUAACACAUGCAAGUCGAACGGAAAGGCCUCUUUCGGGGGGUACUCGAGUGGCGAACGGGUGAGUAACACGUGAGUAACCUGCCCUUGACUUUGGGAUAACUUCAGGAAACUGGGGCUAAUACCGGAUAGGAGCUCCUGCUGCAUGGUGGGGGUUGGAAAGUUUCGGCGGUUGGGGAUGGACUCGCGGCUUAUCAGCUUGUUGGUGGGGUAGUGGCUUACCAAGGCGUUGACGGGUAGCCGGCCUGAGAGGGUGACCGGCCACAUUGGGACUGAGAUACGGCCCAGACUCCUACGGGAGGCAGCAGGGGGGAAUAUUGCACAAGGGGUGGAAGCCUGAUGCAGCAACGCCGUGGGCGGGAUGACGGCCUUCGGGUUGUAAACCGCUUUCGCUCAUGACGAAGCUUUGUGUGACGGUAGUGGGUAAAGAAGCACCGGCUAACUACGUG